AUGAAGAGUUUGAUCCUGGCUCAGGAUGAACGCUAGCGGCAGGCCUAACACAUGCAAG
rnacentral:rRNA from 1 species